AGGAACAGCUUGUUCAAAAUCACGGAGAGUGAAGACCAGCCUGGAACCCUGUCCUCAAAGUAGUAGCACCUGAGAAGAGAUGCUGGCUGACCAGCCCUGCACUUCCCCCAAAUCACAGAUGAUCCUGGUUCUCUACCCAUGGUAGCAUAGCCAGCUCCCUCAUUCACAAGGGAGCAGACCCCACAUAGGUAGACCAGCCACACAAACUUCUGCAGCCUAAGCAACUGAGGCACUCACAGGCAUCAAUGACAUUGACUGUAGCUGAAGAAACUGUAUUGAGGCUAUGCUAUUGUAUCCACCCAGUAAAAAGCUAAUGCACCCUACCCAACUGACACCCUGGGACAUAUCUGCAGGUGAGUCUUUCCCCAUGAAAGCCACUAUACAAAAUUGAAAGAGGCAACUGUUUCACAAGAUCUGAAGAUAUCAAUGCAAGGAUACAAAAAAAACAUGAAAAAGCAAUAAAAUAUCUCACUGUUAAAGGAACACAAUAGUUCACCAGCAACUGGUCCCAAAGAAAUGGAAAUGUAGAAACUCCCUGAAAAGGAAUUUACAAUAAUGAUAUUAAGGAAACUCAGCAGACACAAUAAAAUCGAAAAGCAAUUCAUUAUGUGAAUAAGAAACUCAACAAAAAGAUAGAUAUUAUAAAAAAAUAACUGAACAGAAAUAUUGGAGCUAAUUUAAUGAAUGAAAAAAUACAAUUGAGAGCUUUGAUAACAAACUAGAUCAAACAGAAAAAAAGAAUCUCUAAACUUGAAGCCAGAUAUUUUCAAAUAACCAUGUCAGACAAAAGAGAAAGAAAAAAGAGAAAAAGAGAAAGAUACAUAGAUAAGAAAGAAAGAAAAGAAAAAAGAGAGAAAGAGAGAAAGAAAGAAAGAUAGAUAGAUAGAAAGAGCGAGCCAAAGAACCCAAGAGAGCUCAUGGGACCCAUGGGACAUCAUUACACAAACAAAUGUUAUCAUUAUGGGAAUUUAAGAAGGAGAAGAGAUGGGAAAAGGCAUAGAAAACAUAUUUAAUAAAGUAAUAACAGAAAACUUCCAAGUUUUUGAAAAGAUAUAGACAUCUAGAUCCAGGAAGGUCAAAUAUCCCCCAAAAGAUUCAACCUAAAAAAUUCUUCUCUGAGGCACAUUGUAGUCAAACUGUCAAAAGUCAAAGACAGAGAGAAUUUUAAAAAUAGAAAAAGUGUCAAGUCACAUAUAAAGGAAUCUCCAUUAGAAUAUCAGCAUAUUUCUCAGCAGAAACUUUAUAGGCCAGAAAAGAAUAAGAUAAUAUGGUUGAAGUGAUGAAAGACAAAAAAAACUUUCAACCAACAAUACUAUAUCCAGAAAAGCUAUCCUUCAGAAAUCAAGUGUUUCCCUGACAAGUAAAACCUGAGAGAAUUCACCAUCACUAGACUGGACUCACAAGAAAUGCUUAAAAGUCCAAUAUCUGGAAGCAAAAGGACAAUAACUAAGAUUGUAAAAACAUAUAAAACCCAAUGGUAGAGCAGAUACACAAAUCUUAAAGAAAAAGGAAUCAAACCUUAUUAUUACAGAAAAACACCAAUCUUCAAAGAUAAACAAACAAAAGGAAAUACACACCAACCAAAAAAAAAAACACAUGACACCUUUCAAUAAUAUCCCUGAAUGUAAACUAAUUAAAAUUUCCACUUAAAAGAUACAGACUGGCUGAAUUGAUUAAAAUAUAAGACCCAACUACACACUGCCUAUGCCUAUUAAAAACUCACUUCACCUGUAAAGACGCCCACAGACUGAAAGUGAAGGGAUGAAAAAAGAUAUUUCUGGCAAACAGAACCCAAAAAUGAUCAGGAGUAGUUAUAUAGCUAUACUUAUAACUGAUAAAAUAGACUUUAAGUAAAACACUGUAAGAGAAACAAAGAAGUUUACUAUAUAAUGAUAAAGGGAUCAAAUCAGCAAAAGGACAUAUAAAUACCAAAAAC
rnacentral:lncRNA from 10 species